AAAAUUAAAAUGGCGGGUCUAACCAUGCAGUCGAACGGUGAAGCCAAGCUUGCUUGGUGGAUCAGUGGCGAACGGGUGAGUAACACGUGAGCAACCUGCCCUGGACUCUGGGAUAAGCGCUGGAAACGGCGUCUAAUACUGGAUAUGAGCUCUCAUCGCAUGGUGGGGGUUGGAAAGAUUUUUUGGUCUGGGAUGGGCUCGCGGCCUAUCAGCUUGUUGGUGAGGUAAUGGCUCACCAAGGCGUCGACGGGUAGCCGGCCUGAGAGGGUGACCGGCCACACUGGGACUGAGACACGGCCCAGACUCCUACGGGAGGCAGCAGUGGGGAAUAUUGCACAAUGGGCGGAAGCCUGAUGCAGCACCGCCGCGUGAUGGAUGACGGCCUUCGUGUUGUAAACUUU
rnacentral:rRNA from 1 species